rnacentral:rRNA from 1 species
UGCAGUCGAGCGAACAGACGAGGAGCUUGCUCCUCUGACGUUAGCGGCGGACGGGUGAGUAACACGUGGAUAACCUACCUAUAAGACUGGGAUAACUUCGGGAAACCGGAGCUAAUACCGGAUAAUAUAUUGAACCGCAUGGUUCAAUAGUGAAAGACGGUUUUGCUGUCACUUAUAGAUGGAUCCGCGCCGCAUUAGCUAGUUGGUAAGGUAACGGCUUACCAAGGCAACGAUGCGUAGCCGACCUGAGAGGGUGAUCGGCCACACUGGAACUGAGACACGGUCCAGACUCCUACGGGAGGCAGCAGUAGGGAAUCUUCCGCAAUGGGCGAAAGCYUGACGGAGCAACGCCGCGUGAGUGAUGAAGGUCUUCGGAUCGUAAAACUCUGUUAUUAGGGAAGAACAAAUGUGUAAGUAACUAUGCACGUCUUGACGGUACCUAAUCAGAAAGCCACGGCUAACUACGUGCCAGCAGCCGCGGUAAUACGUAGGUGGCAAGCGUUAUCCGGAAUUAUUGGGCGUAAAGCGCGCGUAGGCGGUUUUUUAAGUCUGAUGUGAAAGCCCACGGCUCAACCGUGGAGGGUCAUUGGAAACUGGAAAACUUGAGUGCAGAAGAGGAAAGUGGAAUUCCAUGUGUAGCGGUGAAAUGCGCAGAGAUAUGGAGGAACACCAGUGGCGAAGGCGACUUUCUGGUCUGUAACUGACGCUGAUGUGCGAAAGCGUGGGGAUCAAACAGGAUUAGAUACCCUGGUAGUCCACGCCGUAAACGAUGAGUGCUAAGUGU